rnacentral:miRNA from 1 species
UGAGGCAGGAGAAUUGCUUGAACCCAGGAGGUGGAGGUUGCAGUGAGCCGAGAUCGGGCCACUGCACUCCAGCCUGGGUAACAGAGGGAGACUCCAUCU